rnacentral:tmRNA from 1 species
CAGAAUCGCCAUCAGUUUUCCCCGCCCAUUGGGUAGCUGCUGGUUAAACUUAAGAAUGGGAUAAGCAUGUAGAGCCGAUGGCGGAGUGCUUGCGGACGCGGGUUCAAUUCCCGCCGCCUCCACCA